rnacentral:lncRNA from 1 species
GAGCAGAGCCAGGAAAAGUCACCAUCCAUUUGUGCAGGCAGUUGUUGUGCAGUGACGGCAGUGCCGGCCCCCACAUCUCCCACCUGGCUCCCACAUCCUGCCCCAGUGUCCCUUCCAGCCCUAGGGUAGAGUUUGGUGGCUUCUCCCUGGCAGAUCCACUGCAAUUCCUCGCCGUAGCGCUGAGGGAUGAUUCUGCUGGUCCUGAUCAUCCCACAAUCGCCACAUCUCUCCCUGACAUCCAGCUAGAACCUGUGGGUUCCAGGAGGGAGCUCGGGUCACCCCAAGAGUCUGUCAGCCACUCCUGGCCCCCAGCGCUGCCCCUGGUGCUCACCGGUGCCGGUCCAGCUCAUUCUGAUCCCACAGCAGCAGCAGCAUGGCCCCCUGAUCCCUGUGUCGCCAGAGGUCGGGGAUUACCGGAGCCGUGGAAGACAAGCCUCAUGCUAUCAUGGUCAGCAAGUCUCAGUUUAUUGAAAUCUUAUGCACAACUUAUAAUGCUUUUAAUUAGCUCAUACAUAUUGCAAAAACUCAGCUCAUUAUUGGUCUGCUACCAUUGACGCAUAUUGUUCUUUGUGGUUAGCCUUGCAGUUACCAGUUCCUUAUCUUCAGCUUGCAGUUCUGCAUAUUUUGGCAGUUUCGAUAUCUUGUUAUUUAUGUAACUCUCUCUUCCAGGACAUACUGACCUUGAGGCCUCAUACUUUAACUAAUCUUACAGUAUCAUGUCCUUUCUCUCUUAGCCAUUCUUCUGUCAGGCUCUCAACAUCCCUGCAGUCGUCCCGGCCCUUGCUCCAAUGGUUGUAGCCAGUAGCACUUGGUCCUGCCCGGCGCCCAGCCCUGAAGGCAGAUGCUGCAUCCCUCGGCCCCUUGAAAAUGGGAUCAGAGCCAAGUCAGGUCACCAAGAUGCCACUUCAUCCCAAAGGGCACCCUGAGCUGCGUUUGGGGCUUCAAUCCAGGCGUGCCACAAGAUUUUGGUAAAGAUUUUAGAGUGGAGAAGCCUUGGUGCUGUUCUGUGGAGACUGUGCAGGGCAAAGAACUUCCCUCAGUUCAGAGAGGAUGUUCUCCCGGGUGCUGUUGGUGUCUCCAAUAUUCCCAUUCCGGAUAUUGCUGCUUCCUGGACUCUCUAGCUGCUGGUGGAUGAUCUCAUGAUCUCAUGAUCUCAUGAUCUCAUGAUCUCAUGGGCUGGGGGUUUCUUUCACCUUCAGGAGCUAUUCCAGGAAUUAUCCUGUUUCUCUUGCACUACACAUUUAUACGCUAAGCCUGUAUAUAUAUGUAGAUAUAACACUGUGGAAACAGAUUUCCACAAACACAUUCUUCUAACACUGUGCUUAUACACUACCCUUUUAUAUCUAUAUUGGUAUAACACUGUGAAUACAGACUACAAACAAGUGCUUCCAAGGUGAACGUGACCUGGGUUGGGGCAAGGUGAUGAUAAUGCCAGUGUGUGAUUUGCAGCAACCAUUAUGUUAAGGGAUGGACUCGGUCCUUGUGGGUCCCUUCCAACAAUGCAGAGCCUCCUCUGAGAUAUCCCUGCAUGACCCCCACUAGUAUUUAGGGUGCCACUCUUGGUCUUUAUAAUUUCAGGGGGUUUUUAUUAAUGCUUGCCAAGCCUCGUGCUCCCUUGGCACUGGCAGCUCCCCAUCCCACGUUCCAUCCCAGCUGGCGGAGCCUUGGAGCUGCCGUGGGGGCCGUGGGGCUGCGCCCUGAGCCGGGGUCCCUUCCCAGUGCUCCCAGUGUGCUGAUCCAGCCUGGAGCAGCCAGCGAGGGCUUCAGCUCAGAGAGCAGAGACAUCUUGGGAGUCCCACUUUAAUUUUGUUUGUCUUGAUCUUCUCAGUUUAAGGAGAAACUGUUUUUGAGGGACACUGCUCUUCUCUCCCUCUUCUUUAGUUCUUUCCAGUUUCUUCCUAACACCACAUUCCCCCUUCACUUGGCACUCUUGGGGCUGUGUCACCCCUCUGCCGCCUUAAAGGAGAAGAGGAAGAUGGAAGGAGCUGGAAUGUGCCCAUCACCCUGGCUCGGGUGGACUUAGGUGGGAUCUGGCUGCAGGGAGGGAAGAGCUGGCCAUCGAGGGAGCAUAUCCCCUCCUUUGAGGAGUCUUUUCCUAGGAUCAGCAUCUCUUUGGCUGCAGCAACUCUGGGGUCACCCGAGGCAGCUGCCACAGGAUGCUUCUGUGCCACCCCUUCUGUGCUUUCACACUGCUGACCACAGCAGCCACCCCUGCUCUCAAAAGGGACAGGGCAUCUUUUACCCAACAGAGCCUCAAAGCCGUGUAUGGGAUGGAAAAAAGAGCUUCGGGUGAUGUUUGUCUCAUGAGGGCAUGGGAAUGGGGUGGACAGACUGGCUAUGUGUCAGAAAUGGGUUGGCUGGUGUUCAUUGCAGAAUUAAAGAAUCACCAUAGCUGGGCCACUUUCUCCUAAAUGGGGAUAAAUUCACGAGUUUUAGAUAUUUCCAUAGAUCCUUGGAAGGGAUUCUCAGCCCCUCUGCAGACGGAGAUGAGCAAAUCUCCCUGAACACUCCACCAGCAAUGGAGCCUCACUGUCACAAUAUUGUCACAGUAAAGCUGGCGUGGACUGGACAAGGUAAGCCUGACCAUAAGACAAAUCCAAUUUGGCUAGCCUAGUUCAUGCCAGAACGAGUCCCUGGAUAAGUUACAGGGGACCCUCCGCCAUCCCAUUCAAGCUUAGUAGAAAGCACAUCGCUGGCCAGAGAUCUGGGUGGAGAGAGAUCCCAGCCAAUGAGCUAUCUGAGCCCGAGAGUUUUGAAUCGGGUUCAUAAGUAAGUUCCAAACAAUAAACAAGGCUGUUUGUCUGAUAAACA